ACCUCUCCAGGGAUGGAGUGUUUGAGAAUGGCUGACACAGCUUUAUAUAGAAGACAGAAGAGGCGGAGUUCAGCUUAGGCUCGCUGCCGAUGCCAACUGUUACCCAUUGCCUCGCAGAAUCGAGGCUCUGCAGGCCACUUUCUCAGUUUGCACAUAUGGAAUCUGAUUGGUAUCUGCCCAGGGACCCAGGGCUCGUGGCCAGUACACGAUGGCAGGCCCUGUGGGUGUGUGACCUGGCUGUCCCCGAGCACGUCCCUCUCUGGCACUGGGCCCGAGCUGUUGUCCUUCAGAUGCUUUCCGCACUCCUGCCGGAUCUGCCUUCCUCUCCAGUCCCGCCUGGGGAGGAGACAGAGACAGAGGUGUGGACGCAGGCCUUCCUCCCCCGUUUCUGCACGAUGUGUUGCAUUGUCAGGCUGCGCCUGCUCGAAGUUGGGAACUGAGCUUUGUGCCUCUGUGAGCUUACCUCGCACCUAGCAGAGGUCCUUCUACAGAGCAGCCUCUCAAAGGAUCGUCCAGACUUACCGUAUUGUUUUUGUUUUCCUGAAAGCAGUUUAUUUAAUAAAUGGGAAGAGGGGUCCCCAAGCCCCCUGGGGUGGCCUGUAAGAGUUCUGAGAUGUGGCUUUCCUUCUCGCUGUGCUGACGUGUCUGCUGGUGGGGGGGAGUUACAGUGGUGAUAGUGUGGGUGCCCCAGACGGCAACAGGCCUGAUGCCACACUGCACAGCCCCGGGCUUCCUCCCCGCCAGGCAUUGCACGGAAGAGCCAGUUUCAGUUAGGAAUAUUCUUGAUGGGGCAGGGCGAUUGUUACUUCUGUGCGGUGUCUACGUCUCUGCCCUGGAGGUGCAGUCUUUUGAAUAUUCUGAGUGAACAAAGGGACAUGCACAUAAAGCACUUCUGCAGACGGAAGUACCGUGAUCGGCUCAGCGAGCCAGUUGCCAGCUGAACUAACCACUGUUUUCAAGGGACACCAUUCUUACCGGAAAGAACGACUUACAGAUAAACUGUGGUUUUUCAGACUUGAGUACCUGCCAGAUAUUUCCUUUAGAAGGAAGUUGGGCUGUCACUUUAAGGAAGACAACUGCCAGCGAUGACAUUUCAGCUUUCGAGUGGAAAUUGGCGUUCUGGAGCGUGUGCGUUCCCCACUUGGUGUCUGCUGACCCGUGUCACCUUGGGAAGCCCUCACAGAAGCAGCUCUUUCCCAGGAUGAGUCCUGCCGUCGCAGGCACAGUGCGGGGCUGUGGUGUGGUCAAGGGCACGGCCAAGUGCACGGAGCUCGCCCAGGACAGCGUCCCACCUGCGGUCGCCACGCUGCCCCCGCCUGGCUUCCGCGUAGCGUCAGACGAGCACACCCACAGCUGCCCCGGAGCCGCGGAGAUGCUCCCCCUAUUCCAGCCGCGUCUCUGCGAGGUGGUUUCCUGCGUCGCUGCCACCCAAACACCUGUCACAACACGCGGAUCUCGGAAGCAGAGGUGACAGCUGCCCUCCUGUGUGAGGCCGCACGGGUUUGCAGGCAGCGCCUCCUUCCACCGGCUGUUUUCCGUUUUGGAAAAGGCGCUUCUUUUUUUCCUAAAAAAGAGGCGAUCUGUGUUAACACUCAAUGAUGUUCAUCAUUAUUUUUAAAUGAAUUAGGUAAAUAUUUUUUAAAACUCUCAGUUUUAACUUCUAACAUGGUAAAUAUUGAUAGGUACAACCACAUAACGAAAGCUCUUUGAGGUCCUGAAUAAUUUUUAAGAGGGUGGAGGGGCCCUGAGACUAGAAAUUGUGGAAACUGCUGUGCUAAGCCAUCUGGUGUGGACAAUCAUAUAUUUUUUUAAGGCACUUAAAAAGAUUUUCUCCUUGGUGUUCUGAUCCUAAGGCCCUGCGGAGGCCGAGGAGGUGUGCUGGGCUGUCAAGGGGAAGUGUUGACCUUAGCGGGUGCGUGUGCGCCUGUGUGGGGAUGGGGGGUGGUAUACAGACCUGGCAGGUCAGGGUUUCUCUGGGGCCCGCCUGGGUGGGCAGGCGGUCUCAAGGGUGACAGGAGCCCCGCGGGGGGCCCACAGACGCUGCUAAACAGGAGUUGUAGCUAUUUAAAGUGAUCGAUUAUCUAUGCAUGCAUUAUAUUUACGUUACAUUGAAUUAUAGAUUAUUAUGGCUUAUUCCAUAAAUAAAUACUAGUUGAUGAAGAAUGAA